rnacentral:lncRNA from 1 species
GUAAAUUCAGGAGAUUUAAAUGCCUUCUGAAAUUAAAUGCCUACUGAAACUCACUUUGCAGAGUGGAUAAUCAGUUUGCAUAUCCUACUUGGAAAGCUUUGAUUUGACUCAUGAAAUGGGGCAGGCUAUGGUAUACCUUCUCUGGCUGAGAGGUGCAUUAUUUAAUGAGCAGUACUAUUGACUUCAAGAGGAGUUGUGGGUUAAAGCUGUUCUGCAAAAGUGAUGCAGUCUAUUCAAAAUAGUAAUUUACAGUUUUGUGCAGAGAGAACAUGACGGAAAUAAGAAAUAAAAAUCAGAAGAACUGCUAAUGCUGGAGUAAAGCCAUCAGGCUGAGCUAAGCCAGUAAAUCAAGGAGAGAAGCGCAAUGCAAAAGUUUCAUGUCAGGAUAUUGAUGGUUAAAAUUACUCUGUUGCUAUUUAAAAAACAAACAAAAUGAGAAAAAACAAACAAACAAAAAAAAAACAAGGUGGAAAUAAAUGCAGAAUUAAGUUGGAAUGCUUUAUCUUCAUGAGAAAGCAAGGGAUGGAGAAGUAGAAACUUCCCAGUUCUGCUGUUGAAAUUUAGUAACUUCCCAGAAAUGCUGCAACUUUGCAUAGUGCUAUAGUGUCAGAUGGGUUGUGGCAGCUGACCAAGGAGUAGCAGUUACCUCACUGAGGGAGAGCAUGGAAGGAGCAGACAUCUGGAUUGCCUGUGACUGGGACAAUGUCAUGGAGUCCUCACUGCAGGGACUCUCAUGGGGUCUGGGGACCGCUCACCUGGAGCUGCACAGUGGUACAUGGAGUGGUUGGUGACUUCACCUGCUACAUAUUUUUACACAGAAAUGCUGGAAGAUCUCAGGUUCAAAACGUCCCUGGAGAUGUUCUGCGGAUGCCUGGAGGCUUCUGAGGACACCUUUGUCUUGGUGAAUUUUCAGUUAAGUGCCCUCACAGCAAGCUCAAUGACAGGAACCCAUCCUGACACACAAGCCAAGGCUAAUGCUUUUCAUUGCACACCCCCUGCUUAUGCCGUGGGUGUUCCCAUGUGAGCUCCUGAAGGUAAUCACUGUGGUUACAGACUGGAACCUGCAAAGUGCUGAGUGCUGUAUUCCACAUCAAGCAAACCUCUCAAUGUUAAUCAUGCUCCGAAAAAUGCUGCGAGAUUAGAGCUAAAUCUCUGCACAACCCCUGCAUUUCUCCAGCUGGGCGCCUUUUUCAUUCCUGUGAAAGCAAGGCUAUGCAGUUAAGACACUGAGCUUGGGCUGGGGGGAUGUUAAGUCCAGUUUAAUCUGCUACAGACUUCUUUAUUGGUGUCUUAUUUUACAGAAUAGAGAUGAUAAAUAUUUUGUCCUUUUGAUUCUAAACUCUUGGUACGGUAUGUAUUUCUUAGCCUUAUGAGAACAUUAAGACCUUAUUCGCAGAUUUUAUACAGUGCUGUAAAUGACUGCUAUCACCUAUGGGGCAGACAUUUAAGCCCUGGACUGGCUCUGGUGAGGAUUCCUGUUACCCAGCUUUGUAGCAGGAAUGUCUUGGGAGGGCUUCUCUUCCCUGGCUCUGUGCAGCACUGUGCACUUCAAAGCCUUCUACUUUCAGAUAUGUAAAAGAAGAGUAAAUUUCAGAUUGUCUUUACAUUUUCGGAAAGGCAAUGUUUUAGACCUUUUCAAAGAUGAAUUCAAAUAAUGAGUGUUCAUUAUGUCUACAUUUUAAAGUGCCGGUUUCCAGCAUCUGCAUGAGUGAAAGUAUAUCUCACUUUCUGUCUCCACCUUUGUUAGUAAUUGUUGUAAUUGUAGGGUAAUGUCUCAUUUUUUGUAAUUUUGUAUAUUAUCUCUGUACAAUUCUCCCAGUUGAGCUCCAAACUGCCCCUGUGUCAUUCGUUUCAUUAAACAUUAAAUCAAUGUACUUUAAGAAUGCCAAGGUUAGUAAUGUGGCAAAAUAGUAAUCCAUUAAACAUCUGGACAGUAAAUCUACUACCUAUCUCUUUUGAAGAGGUUAUAAUAUGCCAUACAAUUAAUUAUUUGGAGCUUGAAUACACUUAAUUUCUGCAAAGUGCAAAAUAGAACUAUUACAUCUCCAUUAUGAGAAGAAAAGCAACAGCUUUUUAAAGCUUCAAAAUCCUUUUAGCAAUAUCUGAUGUACCUUGUCUACAUGGCACCUUUUAUGAAACAUUUCUGCUUGUAAAGGCAAGCUAUUACCAACUGUCCUGGUAGCAAUGAUUUACCACGUUACCUAUCUGUCUAUCAGCGUAUCUACCUAUGAGUUAGCCUCAAAGCUCUUCACAAACUCUACUUCCUUUUUCAAGCCAAGAGGCAAAAGCCUGAUAAACAUCACAUGAAGCAGCACACUGCUAAACUGAUGAUAGAUGGGUGAAUGCUGCAGGGUGGAAUUGAAUUAACUCUCUGCUGGCUGAUGUUUCUGCAGGCGCUUCCUCACCACCAGCAGAAGUCAGUGGUAAGAGCUCCAAAGACAUCAUUUUGCAAUUGCUUGUGGUACUGCUGGCUGUGCUUACCCUUGUCCCUUUCAUGUUACAUGAGUCUGUGGUUGUUCGAUUCCAUGGUCAUCAGACGAGUAACUAAAUAAAAAUAAUUAAAAAAAAAAAAGAAAAAGCUGA